ensembl:lncRNA novel transcript
GUUGUGAGCAAGUUCGGUGCCGCGGGCUGGGGUAGGCGGCAGUGGGGUCCCUGGCUUUGGGGCACUGGGAAGAUCGCGAGUGGGAAGGUCCUCCCGCGGUCCUCCGGGUCAUCUUUCCUCCUGAGGAGCAGCAUAUUUCGCAUCUGCCGGAGGUAUUAGAAUUACUUGUUAUUGGUAAAUAGCCACUAUGGAGACUAAGGACCAGAAGAAACAAAGAAAGAAAAAUAGUGGACCCAAAGCUGCAAAGAAAAAGAAGCGGCAUCUGCAGGAUCUCCAGCUAGGAGACGAAGAAGAUGCCUGGAAGAGAAAUCCCAAAGCUUUUGCAUUUCAGUCUGCUGUGUGGAUGGCUCGAUCCUUUCACAGGACUCAGGAUUUGAAGACAAAAAAGCAUCAUAUUCCAGUGGUUGAUCGAACUCCACUAGAGCCCCCACCAAUAGUGGUAGUGGUGAUGGGGCCUCCAAAGUUGGAAAGAGCACUUUGAUACAAUGCCUCAUUCGGAACUUCACCCGGCAGAAGUUGACCGAGAUCAGAGGCCCUGUGAUGAUCGUGUCAGGUAAAAAGCUCCGACUCACCAUUAUUGAAUGUGGGUGUGACAUUAACAUGAUGAUUGAUCUGGCUGAAGUAGCAGAUCUGGUACUGAUGCUUAUAGAUGCCAGCUUUGGGUUUGAAAUGGAAACGUUUGAGUUUCUAAACAUCUGUCAAGUACAUGGCUUUCCUAAAAUUAUGGGAGUUCUCACCCACCUCGACUUCUUCAAACACAAUAAGCAACUGAAGAAGACAAAGAAGCGAUUAAAACACAGGUUCUGGACAGAAGUUUACCUGGUUGCCAAGCUGUUCUGCCUUUCUGGAAUGGUGCAUGGAGAAUAUCAAAACCAAGAAAUGCACAAUCUGGGCCAUUUUAUUACAGUUAUGAAGUUUAGGCCUCUCACAUGGCAGACUUCUCAUCCUUAUAUCCUGGCAGACAGGGUGGAAGAUUUGACAAACCCAGAGGAUAUCCAAACAAACAUCAGAUGUGACCAGCAGAUGUUACUUUACGGUUAUUUAAGAGGAGCGCACUUGAAAAAUAAAAGCCAAAUUCACAUGCCAGGACGAGGUGGGGCCCACCCAUGAGCUGGUCCAGAGUCUCAUCUCCACCCACUCCACCAUUGAUGCCAAGAUGGCUUCAAGUCGAGUGAUGUUGUUUUCUGAUUCCAAGCCACUUGGGUCAGAGGCUAUAGAUAAUCAAGGGGACGAGUUCUCACUAUGUUGCCCAGGCUGGCCUCGAACUCCUGGGCUCAAGCAAUCCUCCUGCGUUGGCCUCCCAAAGUCCUGGGAUUACAGGUGUAAGCCACUACGGCUGGCCUAUUAUUGCUGUAUUCUAACUUAUUCAUCUCCUAUGCUAGGCUAGCCUCCAAGCUGGAAGCUGAAUUGACAGUUGAAAAAUAAUGACAUGUAUACAAGGUAUGUUUGAAGGAUUGCAGAUGCAGGGGCACCAUAUGCUAAAGGAGUGUUGGAAGCUCACUGCAGAAGAUGACAAAAGCAGACUGAUAUGUAUUAUUUGCUGAAAUAUAAGCUGGAGGCACAGGUGAAGAUUGCCAAACCUAAUGAACAGUUUGGCAAAUAAGACAGGCUGUCAGGCCAUGGCAGUUCAGCAGUGGGCGUGCUGCCUGUGAACCAAGUCAUUUGUUCCAGAGGACUACACUUAAAUACCACAAAUAAAAUCUUCCUUGUCACUGA